rnacentral:snRNA from 1 species
GUGUUUGCUUCAGCAGCACAUAUAGUUAAAAAAAUUAGAACAAUACAGAGAAAAUUAACAUGGCCCCUGUGCAAGGAUGAUA